rnacentral:rRNA from 1 species
UACGUAGGGUGCGAGCGUGUCCGGAAUUAUUGGGCGUAAAGGGCUCGUAGGCGGUUUGUCGCGUCGGGAGUGAAAACUCAGGGCUUAACCCUGAGCCUGCUCCCGAUACGGGCAGACUAGAGGUAUGCAGGGGAGAACGGAAUUCCUGGUGUAGCGGUGAAAUGCGCAGAUAUCAGGAGGAACACCGGUGGCGAAGGCGGUCUCUGGGCAUUACCUGACGCUGAGGAGCGAAAGUGUGGGGAGCGAACAGG